UCCGUAGGGUGCGAUCGUUAAUCGGAAUUACUGGGCGUAAAGCGUGCGCAGGCGGAUUGUUAAGCAAGACGUGAAAUCCCCGGGCUUAACCUGGGAAUGGCGUUUUGAACUGGCAGUCUAGAGUGCGUCAGAGGGGGGUGGAAUUCCACGUGUAGCAGUGAAAUGCGUAGAGAUGUGGAGGAACACCGAUGGCGAAGGCAGCCCCCUGGGAUGACACUGACGCUCAUGUACGAAAGCGUGGGUAGAAAACAGG
rnacentral:rRNA from 1 species